GGAUAAGAUCUGACUUUCUUAUAUCCGUGUGGCUACAGCCAAUUUGAGGGCAACUGUGAGAAAGAAAGAACAUCAAGUCAGUCCCCUUUACUGCCUUAAGCAGAAACUUCUUUUAUACUCAAGUGUUUAAGUAAGGCAUUUUACUGAAAAAGGAAAAGUGUCAAAAUCAGGACCAAGCUGUGCUCAUUCAUUUAUUCACUGAGUCCCUACCUGAGCCAGGCCCUGUCUGGGUGCUGGGGACACAAGCGAUAUGUGAGUAGUGCCUGCCUUAUCAUGAGCUAACUUUCUUUUUUUUUUCUGAGACGGAGUCUGGAGUGCAGUGGCACGAUCCUGGCUCACUGCAAGCUCCGCCUCCCGGGUUCACACCAUUCUCCUGCCUCAGCCUCCCGAGUAGCUGGGACUACAGGCACCCACCACCACGCCCGGCUAAUUUUUGGUAUUUUUAAUAGAGUCAGGGUUUCACCGUGUUAGCCAGGAUGGUCUCGAUCUCCUGACCUCGUGAUCCGCCCGCCUCGGCCUCCCAAAGUGCUGGGAUUACCGGCGUGAGCCACCGCGCCCAGCCUAUGAGCUAUCUUUCUAAUGAGGAAGACAGGCAACCACUAGGGAACCAAAUAAAUGCUUGCUGCAAGUUCAGGUCACCUUAUGGGCUAUGAGGGCAACAAAGCAGGGUCAGGGAGAGAGAGUGCUGGGGCCACAGCUUCACUGGCUGGACUCAGGGCAUGCCUCACCGAACACAUCUUAUCUAGGGCAGGACCCAGAAUGAAGCGUGGGAACAAGUCUGCAUGUGGUCUGGGCUGAGGCAGUAGCAAGUGCAGUGCUGAGGACGUUCCAGCUUGGUGCCCUGGAGUGACAGCAAGCUCUAUGUGGCUGCAGCGACCCAGGCAAGAGGGAGAGCAGUUGGAAGUGAGGUCAGUGCGCCAAUGGGGCUUUGGAGUUUAUUUAAUUUAAUUAAUUUAUUUAUUUUGAGAUGGAGUCUCACUCUUUCACCCAGGCUGGGGUGCAGUGGCGUGAUCUCAGCUCACUGCAACUUCCGCCUCCUGGGUUCAAGCAAUUCUCCUGCAUCAGCCUCCUGAGUAGCUGGGAUUACAGGCGCCUGCCACCAUGCCUGGCUAAUUUUGUGUAUUUUUAGUAGAGAUGGGGUUUCACCAUGUUGGCCAGGCUGGUCUCGAACUCCUGACCUCAAGUGAUCCACCUGCCUCGGCCUCCCAAAGUGCUGGGAUUACAGGCAUGAGCCACCGUGCCUGGACUUGGAUUUUAUUUUAAAUAUGAAGACAAAACACUGGAAGGUUUUGAGAUGGGUGAGGAGUGUGUUUGGUUUACAUCUGGAAAAUGUUACUCUGGCUGCUUAUGGAGAAUACAAAACAGGGAGGUAAGAGAAGGGCAGGGAAAAUAGCAUGGGGGAUCCUGCAGGGUGCAGGAGAGAGGUGAGGGCAGCUCGGCUGAGGGUGGUAUGGCGAUCAGCUUCAGGACAUGCUUGACCAUAGAACCUAUAGGACUUGCCGAUGGAGUGGCUGUGGAGCAUAAGCGAAAGGGAAGAAGCGAGCUUCAUCUGGGUAGAUCAGUGACUGGUAGUGCCCUUCAUCACAGUGGGAAACGAUGGGGCAAAACAGGCUGCAGCACAGAACCACAGUCCUGGUUGGUAUCUGUUUCCUCUGGAAUGGAUGCCCAGUAGCCCUCCUAGAAGAGAGACUGAGUGGGCCACUGGGACUCGGUGGAAAGGCUGCAGCUAAAGACAUCAGUGAGUCACCCACAAAGGGGUGGAAACAAGCCACGGCUCUGCUUCGAUGUGGUCUUCUCUGAGGGCAGUGGGCUGGAUGAAACCACCUAUUUCUUCUCAAAGAAUCUGGUUCUCAAAGUGAACCAAAUUUUGGUAGAUUAGAGGCCCAAUGUUUGGAGUCAAGCUAACCUAGGUCUGAAUUUUCUCUCUACCACCUACUUGCUAGUUAUGAGACCACAGGCAAUUCACAAUAACCCUCUUGAGCCUCCCUUGCCUCUGAGUUAAAAUGGGGAGAGAACCCUUAUUUCCCAAGGUGACAGUCAAUACUGUUAAUUCCCUCCCAGAUCCUCUGUGCUCAAUAAUGUUAAUUCCCUUCCAGAUCCCCUGUGACUAUCAUGUGUUCCCUCAUCAUCAUUCUUCCAAGAAGUUUUAAAGUUCUGGAUCUAUUUCUAUCUUGCAUAUAUCCCACACAGGCAUGCACCCAUUCAUGCAUUAAUUGACUCUUCUAGGGAUCAGCCCUAUGCUAGGUUCUAAGCAUGCAACUGUGAAAUACAAAUACAUGGUUCCUGCCCACACAGAGCUCUGGCCCAGUGAUCUGAGACAGCUCUCCAUAAAGCACAGGAUAUUAAGACCAAAAACAACAAAUGUGCAAACCACAGUAAAGAUGCAAACCAGAAGGAAAGAAAGUUGGUCAUGGGAGCUCCAAUUUGUCUAGUGGUAGGAAGCCCAACAGUCCAACAUGAAAGAAAGUAUUUCUUGGCCCUGAUCUGUGGAUCAAGGAGUUUUUACAUUAGAGGGGUAUUAAUCAAUGAAAUAUAAUAUGCUUAAUAACAGUAUUUAUUUUUAAAAUAUUAAAAUAUGGCCAGGCACGGUGGCUCACACCUGUAAUUUCAGCACUUUGGGAGGCCGAGGCAGGUGGAUCACAUGAGGUCAGGAGUUUGAGACCAGCCUGGCCAACAUGGCGAAACCCUAUCUUUACUAAAAAUACAAAAAUUAGCCAGGCGUGGUGGCGCAUGCCUGUAAUCCCAGCUACUCGUGAGGCUGAGGCAGGAAAAUCACUUGAAUCCAGGAGGUGGGGGUUGCGGUGAGCCAAGAUUGCACCAUUGCACUCCAGCCUGGGCAACAGAGCAAGACUCUGUCUCAAAACAAAACAAAACAAACAAAAAAAAAGUGCCCUACAUACUCAGGUACAUGAUGUGUUAAAUCAUAAUUACAGAAAGGCAAUUAUAUGAAAGAGGAUCAGGGUGAUUUGGCCCAGGUAUGCAUCAUUUUGAUGAUUUGGCUUUGCAUUAGGGCAAGGCUGGAGAAAUGUUUUACACUAGUUUAAAAAUCUGUAUUUUUUUCCCAGCCUGUCCCCCUACGCUGUGAAGUCUCAAAGCGAAUUCUCCUUCCUUUCUUCCUUCCUUCCUGCCUUCCUUCCUUCCCUCCCUCCCCGCCCUCCUCUCUUCUCCUUCCUCCUCCUCUCUUCUUCCUUCCUUCUUUCCUUCCCUCCCCCUCCUCCUUUCUCCUUCCUUCCCUCCCUCCCUCCUCCCCCUCCCUCCCUCUCUCUCUCUCUCUCUCUUUCUUUCUUUCUUUCUUUCUCUCCUCUUUCCUCUUUCUUUUUUUGACAGGGUCUCAUUCUGUCACCCAGACUGGAGUGGCACUAUCUCUGCUUACUGUGACCUCUGCCUCUGAGGCUCAAGCAAUCCUCCCACCUCAGCCUCCUGAGUAGCUGGGCCCACAGGUGCACAAUAUCACGCCUGGCUAAUUUUUAAAAAAUUUUUGGUAGAGACAGAGUUUCACCAUGUUUCCCAGGCUGGUCCUGAACUCCUGAGCUCAAGUGAUCCACCUGCCUUGGCCUCCCAAAGUGCUGGGAUUACAGGCAUGAGCCACCGUGC
rnacentral:lncRNA from 1 species